GGAUCAGCCCUGCACACUCAGACAAAAGACCCAGGUGUCCACCUAUAACACAGGCCUCAGGGGCCCCGGGGCCCUCCACAGCCCUGUUCACCAUGAGUGGCUCACAGGGUCUCUCUCUUACUGGAAGUGGCUCUCCACAGUCUCCUUUCUGGCUUCUCUAGGGAGUCCUGUGAUGAACAAGGCGGAAGAUGGCCGUCAGCCAAGGGCAGCAUCCCUGGAGACAGAGAACAGGUAUUAGCAUCCAGCACCCAUGUCUUUGGGAGGCAGAUACAAUCACAUCUUUGAGAUCAAAUCACCAUUCCUCUUGGAGCUGUGUAGAACAGGAUUUUCCUUCACACAUUUAACACUUCCAAGUCCUCAUGUUUCUGUUCAUAUGGAGGGGAGCUUUCCCCAGAGCUGACCUCUCACAGAUCACAGUGCUGUUAGUCACUAAACCAGGAGUGCAACCGCCUAGACCUCAAUCAAUCAUUGCUACCAAGCUGUACCCUCGGCCCUUCGCGUCACAAAACCACCAUCCACUGGAUACUAACCAGCUCGUUUUCAAAGUCUUGUUGCCCUGAGGAGGAAGAGGACAGUCUCUGGAACCUGGCCUCACUGUAGGCACAAAAGGAAAAAAAAAAAAAAACAGAUAAAUAAUUCUGAAAUUAAAAAGGGUUGAAUAUA
ensembl:antisense